GAUGAACGCUGGCGGCGUGCCUAACACAUGCAAGUCGAACGGAAGGGCGCUGCUUUUGUGUGGUGCCCGAGUGGCGAACGGGUGAGUAACACGUGAGUAUCCCGCCCUUGACUGUGUGACAUCUUCAGGAAACUGCGGCUAAUACAGGCUAGGAGCUCCUGAUGCAUGGUGGUGGUCGGAAAGUUUCGGCGGUUGGGGAUGUACUCGCGGCUUACCAGCUUGUUGGUGGGGUAGCUGCAUACCAAGGCUUAGACGGAUAGCCGGCCUGGGAGGGUGACCGGGCUCCUGGGGCCUACGAGAGGCAGCAGACUGGAACGGUAGGCAACGGGGGAAAAUAUGACACAGUGGGGGCGAGCGUGUUGCGAAGGCGCCGCGUGCGUAAAGACGGCCUACGGGUUGUGAACCGCUUUCGCCUGAGACGAAGCGGGAGUGACGGUAAUGAGUGAAGAAGCACCGGCUAACUACGUG
rnacentral:rRNA from 1 species